GUCCACGCCCUAAACGAUGUAUACUAGGUAUUGGCAGUAUCGACCCUGUCAGUGCCGUUUAAAAAGCUAACGCGUUAAGUAUACCGCCUGGGGAGUACGGUCGCAAGACUAAAACUCAAAGAAAUAGACGGGGACCCGCACAAGCGGUGGUUCAUGUGGUUUAAUUCGAUGGUAAACGGGGAACCUUACCUGGGCUCAACUACUAGCUGCAAGCCACCAGAAAUGGAGGCCGCCUUCGAGGGUGCUAGAUAGGUGCUGCAUGGUUGCCGU
rnacentral:rRNA from 1 species